CUGUAUUCUGGAUACAAGAAGACUGUCAUCUGAUAUACAAUUUCCCACAUUCAUUUUCCCAGAUAGUGCCUCUCCGGGACCCUGGAAUAGCUGAACUGCCAGGUGGGUUACAGACCCUAGACUGAGUAACCCACCCAAAGCGGUUUACAGUGGCGCCCGAACCAGUGACUCGGAGCAUGGCCAACUAUUGGAUGAAGAUGCGCGGUCCCGGGACAACAACAAGAAGAUAAAAGAAGAUUCUGUGGCUGUAGAACUCAGACACAUCUGCAGAAUGAGAUAUAAAGAUCCCAGAACCGACCACAGUAACAACAGCUGCAUGUUGGCAGGUCCCUUCCAGGGCUGUCCUGAGCACCUGCCACGUGCCCAGCUCGCAGGCCCCGUUCUAGGAGGAGCUGGG